CCUACGGGAGGCAGCAGUGAGGAAUAUUGGUCAAUGGACGAGAGUCUGAACCAGCCACGUCGCGUGAAGGAUGACUGCCCUAUGGGUUGUAAACUUCUUUUAUAAAGGAAUAAAACGAGGCACGUGUCCCUUUUUGCAUGUACUUUAUGAAUAAGGAUCGGCUAAAUCCGUGCCAGCAGCCGCGGUAAUACGGAGGCUCCGGGCGUUAUCCGGAUUUAUUGGGUUUAAAGGGAGCGUAGUUGGGUUGUUAAGUCAGUUGUGAAAGUUUGCGGCUCAACCGUAAAAUUGCAAUGGAUACUGGCAGUCUUGAGUACAGGUGAGGUAGGCGGAAUUCGUGGUGUAGCGGUGAAAUGCGUAGAUAUCACGAAGAACCCCGAUUGCGAAGGCAGCUUACUAAACUGUGACUGACAUUGAUGCUCGAAAGUGUGGGUAUCAAACAGGAUUAGAUACCCGGGUAGUC
rnacentral:rRNA from 1 species